CGACGUGCGGCAGGUUGAAGGGAGCGAUUGGGUGGAGGCGAAAUGCCUCACGUAUGCACGCCUUGAGAUAGUUGAGAUGCAUGAUGUCCGACUCUUGCACCAGUCGCUCGCGACCGACCACCCGGUCCAUCUCCUCCACCGCCUUGGUCAGCAAUUCUGGGUUGUUCACCAUCUCCGCCAGCGCCCACUCCACUGCGUUUGACGGGUUAUCUAUGGCCGCUAAUAUUAUGCCCUGCAUGCAUUCCAUGGAGAUAAAUGUAAGUUAAUAUUAUAUCUUUGCAUAAAGAUAGAUUACAUUGAAUAAUUGGAAUUUUAAAUACAAUUUAAGUUAAAAUAACACCAAAAUGGUAGAAAAAUACAUUAAUGCUAUGUUUAAACUAUUAAUUCACAAUUUCUUAUUCUAUUGUUUCCCUUUUCUAACACCUGCGAAAUACAUUAUAAGAUCUACUCCCUAAAGUUUUUGACACUAACUAGUGUCAAAAACGUUCUUAUAUUAUGAGACGGAGGGAGUAGUAUUUAAGAGUGUGAGCUAUUAUCUUUUCUCAUGGAUGACGUAUUAGUACCUUGUAGGACUAUGAGGCAAUUGGUCGCUAAAUUCAAUCUAGGCCCUUGAACCAUCUUAAAAUUUCUCAUUAAUUAAUAUUUUGCUUACCUUGGACUGUGCUUUGACCUCAUCGAUGCUGAGCAACGGCUUGCCAUCACCGUCGGCGAGCGUGAUGAGAACGUCAAGGAAGUCCUGGACCCCGUCCUGCCUCUCGCCGCUGUUCCACUGCCUCCAACGCUCUUCGAUGACCACGUUGUGCAGUCUAUCCACUUUUAUGUUGGCCUCCUUAAUAAUUUUCUCGUGGCCGUCGAGGUCCAGGCCAAGUAGACACGGGAGGUAUUCGCUGACGCAGAACGCGAAGGUGAACCCUAGGAGGGCGAAGGAAGCGUCCAUGUGCUCCAUCUCCAUCGGCCCCGGCCCGCCGUCCGGCUGAGGCUCCCCAAAGUACCGUUGGCCGAAGACAAGCCGGCGGAUGACGUUGCCGCAGUAAUGCCGCGCGACAUGCCUGACAUCGACGUUGGCGCCUACUCCCGACGUUGAAGAUGACCCCCCGGCGGUGAGGUUGUAGAUGUAGCGCAUCAAGUUGUCAGCUUCGUCGGCGCGCUUGUCGUGGAGCCACUUGUGGCGGGAGGGGCAAAUUAUCUCAGAAGUGAGCACCUUGCGCAUCUUCAUCCACUGGUCGCCGAAUGGCGAGAGCACGGCGUCCUUGUACCCGGAGCUGAUGGUGCCGGAGGCGAAGGUGAGUGGACGGGACGAGAAGUUUUUGUCCUGCUUCUUGAGCACCUCCCUUGCGAUCUUGGGACAUGUGAUCGGGACGACGUGGACGCUGCCAAGGCGGAAGCAAGCGAUGUCGGUGCCCAUAUCCUUCAUCACGCGAUGGAUCCAACGGAACGCCGGCUUGUUGAGCACUAGCUCGGGCAGGCUACCCACCACUGGCCACGGCCAUGGCCCCGGCGGAAGUGGAAGCAGCAUCGUCGCCGAUGAGCACGUGCCACUACGGACCUUGCUCUUGGCCAUGACAAGGUACAUAAGCGUUAUUACAAUGAGCAGCUGGGACACAACAAAGCAGCAGCACGCCAACAUUGUGGAGACUGCUGCUUGCUGAGUGCACAUAGGCUUGCGAUGUAGCUUACCUUGUUAUCGUUGCGUAGGGAAGCCAACUUUGCUCCCUGUGCUGCUUUGCCCAUGAGGGCGAGACCCAUCUUUAUAUGUUACCUCCGUCCCAAAAAAAUUGGCUUAGAUUUAUUAGAUACUAAGGUAUCUAUGUAUCUAGCUACCACUAAAACAUGUUUAGAUAUAGUAUAUUCCUCAUGUGUGGAUCAUUUACCACAUGUAUCAUAUGGUAUUUCAAAUGUAUUUAUCCUGAUACUACUAACAAUAAUUGUCUAUCCAAACAUAAUCAAAACAGAAUAAAAAACUUCUAUUUAUAGAUUGUCUUAUAUUUAUCUAAAUACGCAGGCUGAUACUAAACAUAAUAAUUAUCUAUGCAAAAGUAAUCAAAACAGAAUAAAAAAUUUCUAUUUAUAGAUUGUCUACAAACGACAUACGGAUGGAUGUAUAUAGACAUAUUUUAGAGUGUAGAUUCACUCAUUUUGCUUCGUAUGUAAUCUAUAGUGGAAUUUCUAGAAGAGUUAUAUUUAGGAACGGAAGGAAUAGUACUAAUAAUAAUUUUCUAUCCAAACGUAAUCAAAAUAGAAUAAAACAUCUCCUAUUUGUAGAUUUUCUAGGGUACUUAUCCGAAAACUAACCAUAAUUGUCUUUCCCAAAGUAUUUCAGUCGCCAGAUAUUGCUUGUUGGUCCUUACCAUGGUUUUGGGUACCAGGCGGAAAAUUCGGUUACCGCCCGUAACCGCAUUUCUCGCUGCCCCACGAUAAUUCGGUUAUCGAACUUUUUGAUUUUUUUGAAAUUUAAACUCCUAUCUUCUAGUUAAAUGAGAUAUCUCUAGCACAAACGCAAGCUUACUUGCAUCCUAGUGGUAAUGAUCUUACUCCAGCAACAGGGCGUCAUGUGUUCGAGAACCGCCGGCCGCAUUUGUCUUUUUGAUUUCUGAAGAAUACACGCCACACUAUGCUGUAAUUUCUAAAAAAAUACGUGCACGCGAAGGUCGAACUCGCGACCUGCAGCAGACCUGAUACCGCUGCUCUAGUACUACUGAAGCAUACAUACGGUGCUCCAAACUUUUGUAUUCUAGUCGACAAAAUUUUGAUUUCAAAUUUGAAUUUUAAACUUUGCUCGAAUUUUUGUCGGUAUUUCGUGGUUACCGUGGUNNNNNNNNNNGCUUACUUGCAUCCUAGUGGUAAUGAUCUUACCCCAGCAACAUUGCGUCAUGUGUUCGAGAACCGCCGGCCGCAUUUAACUUUUUGAUUUCUGAAGAAUACACGCCACACUAUGCUGUAAUUUCUAAAGAAAUACGUGCACGCGAAGGUCGAACUCGCGACCUGCAGGUGCGUGGCAGUGGAGCAGACCUGAUACCGCUGCUCUAGUACUACUGAAGCAUACAUACGGUGCUCCAAACUUUUGUAUUCUAGUCGACAAAAUUUUGAUUUCAAAUUUGAAUUUUAAACUUUGCUCGAAUUUUUGUCGGUAUUUCGUGGUUACCGUGGUAACCGAGUUUACCGCCCCCCCCCNNNNNNNNNNNNNNNNNNNNNNNNNNNNNNNNNNNNNNNNNNNNNNNNNNNNNNNNNNNNNNNNNNNNNNNNNNNNNNNNNNNNNNNNNNNNNNNNNNNNNNNNNNNNNNNNNNNNNNNNNNNNNNNNNNNNNNNNNNNNNNNNNNNNNNNNNNNNNNNGUUCCAUUCGGAAUCCAAAACCUUAGUCCUUACAUGGUAUCCUGGGGGCUUGCCAAACUUCCUGCAAAGGAAAUCUUUCUGUAGUCCUGAUGACAGUCAAAAGAGAUGACAAUCGGAUAUUCCAUCCAGCAGCUUAGUAGGUUUCUUCUGUUCUAUUCUUUGUGCCACCUAUCAUCCACGUUCUCUACUUAUUCAUUAAUUCAUUUCUUGAAUUAGGCUAGGUGCUUCCGCCUUAGUUUUGAAAACAGAGAAUGACUUUGACUGAACGUUGUUUGUGAUGCAAUUUAUCUCUUCGAUUGGGUAUUUCUAUUCUAGAAUAUGAGCCAAAAUCCUCGUAUCUUUUGCAAAUUCUGCCGUGUGAAGUUCAUUUAGGAAUUCCAUCCAUUACUAGUGCCGUUAACUCUGAUCCAUGGGGAGAUUUCAGUGGACAAAGGGAUUCUCUGAUGCGAUGAUACCUGGCAUCUUCACACAUGAUAGACCAUUGUUUGAUUUUAGAUAUGCUAUAAAUCGAUAAAUUUAGUUGAGAAAAAAAGUGGAAUGACAUGGGCUAAGGGGUAUAAACUACUGUUUAUUCAUGCAUGAGCUAAUUCAGUUCAUUCUAGAUGAAUUUUCUACUCAAUCAUGUAACAUGCACUAUCUUUGCUUGACAGCUCAAAUGGCCGAGGCUGUACUUAUUGCUGUGACGAAGAUUGGUUCCAUUUUAGGAGAUGGAAGUCAUCAAUGCCAUCAUAUCCGAGCUCUCUGUAGAAGUUACUAAUCUGAAAGAACUGCCGGUAAAGAUUGAGCAAAUAAGACAGCAACUGAAUAUGAUGAGUAAUGUAAUAAUGCAGAUAGAUAAUGUAUACCUGAGUGUCGGUGUACAAAAUUUUGUACGGGUACUUCUACUUCUGUAUCCUUACUAGUGCACGGGCAGUCACAACUACACCUGCAGCAGGGCUUAGCGGGGUAGAGGAAGACAAAACCAAAAGACUACCAAGGCAGAUACUCGAAGAACAAGGGGCAGAGAGCGAGCUGGACCACCCCCGGCAAGGGUCUUGCCGGGGCGACCUGCACAGCACCAGCAAGUCCAUCACCCUUGGGGCUGAGAGCUCUGACACCAUCGACAAUGUUAAAGACCAAGAUCUGGAGGGUACAUGUCUGGUAGCAUACAGAUCCUCGUAAAGAUUGACAUCCCACAGAUCCACGUGGGACCAGAAGAUAAAGACCCCCGGCAAGGCCCUUGCCGGACGACUCCAAGGCCCCCGGCAAGCCUUGCCGGGGACGAUCACUGGGCCGCGGCCAGGCCCACGCCGACAAGGUUUCGCCACCUCACCACCACUCCAGUGCGACGAUAGGCGUGCCAGCUAAGCAGGCGCCUGCGUGGCGGCAUGCAGAUCUUUGUGGAAGCUUUACCAUUGUGCCAACGCAGCAGCUAGUUAGCCAGCAUGGCACUGCACGCCUUGUCAGCCUAGACGCGUGUCGAAGCAAGGAGGAGCGGCGAAAGACGGGAUGGCUUCUGUUGCCAUCCCCGAUAAAGCAAGAGGACACGUAGGCAGCGCAUUAAAUGCGUUUGUCCUACGUUGACCGAGUGAUAAGCUCGAUCACUGUAGCUUGCCACCUCCUGUGUGCCACUGUGGUAACCCCUUUGCAUAUAAAAGGAGGCCCAAGGCAUACAGAGAGACGAUUCGGACUUUUGGACAAGGUACGCACCGUAGCUAGUUCAAAAGCUCAAGAACACAUAUAUCCAGAUGAGCAGGACUAGGGUAUUACGCAUCUUUGCGGCCCGAACCUGGGUAAAAAUCCUUGUGUGCUAACGGCUCGACCUGCUCUUCGUGAAGCUAAUCCCCCGCCGAACAUAGAAGGGAUCCUUGUGACCCCAUAGGUGUUCGGUUUCCCCGACAUCUUUGGCGUGCCAGGUAGGGGGGCAUUAGUUGUGAGAAUCUGGUCUGUUAGUUAGUACAGUAGUCUCUUCAUCGCCAUGACGCCGAAGAAGAAGAAGAUCACAGCAAUCGGCCCGUCCGGGGCCACACCGCCCGCACCUGCGCGGACGGGCGACGUGGCGGGCGCCAGUGGUGAAGGAGAUCAAGGUCGUCCGCGCCACCCUGGUGCGAGGGGCGGUGCGAGCGGUGUGGAUUUCGGGCUCAUUUGAGCACGGGCUCAGCAGCGAAUUUUCGAUGGCGAUGCCCUUUUUAUAUCUGCAGAUAGUAGGAACACAAUGUUUCUUUGUAGCUCAGGCUACAUGGAACCUCUUAUCCUCAACCCUCCAGCCUUGCUUUGAGAUCCGUACUCUCCAACUAACUUACAACAAGCAAAUUUCUCUUUUUUUGUUUCUCUAAAAUGAAACCAUAUAUGAACUUCAAACUUUGCAGAUUUCUCUUUUUUGUUUCUCUAAAAUGAAACAAUAUAAAAAAUGAAGAUCUGAAAGUUUUUUCCCAGAUGAAAAAAUAUUGUUGUUGUUCUACAAAAUUUGAAGUUUAUUUGUUGUGUCGUUUGAGAAAAAAAAAGACAAAUGUGUCUGCACGGAUCGCGAUGCAGAAAUGGAUGGCAAAGAUAAGGAGUACCAUGUAGUCUAAGCUACAGAAAACUACACUCUAGUAGGAAACAUGACAGAAAUGAUCGUGAACAAGUGGCACGCCCUCCAAACCAAUUCCCGACGAGCUCUAAAAUGGAGGCUCACGGGCUUGAUUUGGUACACCCUUCAUAAAUUGUGGCAAUCCGAAGCCGGACAAUGAUUCUGCUAGUUUUUUUCGGCCAAAAUAGCCAUAUCAACAGUUAUUAUGCCAUUCGUGAUUAAUUUGAAAUGCUUGUCGAUCGAUGGAAGUAUCAUAUUAGGCUGCAUGUCUAUGAUUGCAGGAAUGGCAUGAGGAAGCAGCAUAAUCCUCAGGUAAAAAAAAGCAAACAUAAUCCUUUUUGUGUUUUUUUUUUGCGAUGGAUCCUUUUUGUAGUUGUUCCUGCUACAAUCAUUUUUUUAUCAUAAAAAAUGAUUGCAGCUGCAGCUACUACAAAAAGGAUUAUGUUGCUUCCUCAUGCCAUUCCGUUAUACUGCAUCUGGUUCAUUUUACUCUGUGUAUUAGAUUUGUGUCAAGUCAAACUUUACAAAGUUUGAACAAAUUUAUAUUAAAAAAUAUCAACUACAUUACCAAGUAUAUAUACUAUGAAACUAUAUUUCAUAAUGAAUCUAACAAUAUUGAUUUGGCAUUGGGAAUAUUGAUAGUUCUUUCUAUAAGUUUAGUCAAAGUAGAGAUACUUUGACUUCAGACAAUACUUAUAUGCAGACUAAAAAGGACCGGAGGGAGUAGAUGACUCGCACUAUCGGCGAGACAGCAAGAUUUCACUGCCUUCUUUUACAAGGAACAAGUCACAAGUUUUAUUUCUUAAGCUAACUCAAUAGAACUGAUGUCCAAAUUAACCUUAGCCACCUCACAAAAUAUUCUUCCCAACACCUAAAAAAACAAGAAAGACAUCGAAAAUUGUGAAAUGAGGACAAGCUUAUUGCAGUACUUUUUUAAGAAACAUAUUUCCACAUCACAAAAAAAAUUUAAAAAAAAUUGUACAUGCACAAAUACAAAUAUAACAUAUUCAAGAAAAAUUUAAUAACAAUAUACUCCCUCUGUAAGGAAAUAUAAGUGUUUAGAUCACUAAUGUAGCGAUUUUUUUUUGUGUAGACUAAAGUAGUGAUCUAAACGCUUUUAUAUUUCUUUAUGGAAGAAGUACUUUCAUAGGUAGUGUAGACAAAAAAAAAUAUGUGCAUAAAUAUGGCCCAGUUUUUCAUUGUUGGGCCAGGAUUAUUUUAUUUUGGUAGCUUGCGAAUCAUAAUAUUUUGAACAAAAUUGUACAGAUCCAUCGCAAAUACAUACAAGUUUUCACUGGCUUGUUUUUGAAUUUUCAUGAAUCUUGGAAAUAUCUUUUUUUUUAUUGUUUGGAAAAAGGGCUCCAGUGGGCCCGUCCGUUGAGCCCGUCCUCAGUACCAUUAUUUUGAUCGCUUCCUAAUCCUAAGAUUAGUAGCUACUACUAGUUGGUUGGGGUCAAGACAAGAGUAACGAGUCUGAUCAUCUUCAAAUUUUGCCUUCUUCGCUACCUGCCGCAUCCUCGUCUCGGCCGAAGAUGGACCGAUUUUUGACGACAGUAUGUAUCCUAUAUUUACGUACGUACAUUUAGUUAAGAGCACGGGUGUAGCUUAUAGUGAUUUGCGUACAUAUUUCGUGAAACUGCAGGUACUUCCAGUCAUCCGGCCGCACCGUGCGGACAGGAGCAAUGGCUGCUACUGCUUGGCCACGGGACAUCUGGAACCAUUGGGCCAUCCAGAUCCUGGUGAUCUUCAUCCUUGGGCUCCAGAUCGCCCUCUUCCUCUUUGCCGGGAUCCGCAGGCGUGGAGGCCACCCGGUGCUGCGGUUCCUGCUCUGGCUGGCGUAUCAGCUGGCUGACUGCACCGCCACAUACGCCCUCGGCCACCUCUCCCUCGCAGGCGCUGCACCUCGGAGGCCCGGACAACAUCACCGCCUCCUCUCUGGAGGACAACGAGCUCUGGAAGCGGCACUUGCUGAAUGCCAUCCUUCAGGUGUCCGGAGUCGUGUAUAUCCUCUACGAGUAUUAUCGCGGACACGGGCACAUUGCUCCGGCUUGCCUCCACCUUGAUGUUGGCCAUCGGUGCUGUGAAGUACGGGGAGAAGACGUGGGCGCUCAUGCGCGGCAACCUGGACAGAAUGCGAGCAUCUCUCAAGAAGAAGAAGCAACCACAUGCAAUGCAUGGACAUUUUCACCCUCAAGAUCAAGUGUUAAAGGAUGGAGAAUUAGAUGAGGAAUCCCUUGUGCGACAAAAACAGAGGAUGGCUGUCCUCCCCUUGUCCCCCUCCGUCCCCUCCCCUGCNNNNNNNNNNNNNNNNNNNNNNNNNNNNNNNNNNNNNNNNNNNNNNNNNNNNNNNNNNNNNNNNNNNNNNNNNNNNNNNNNNNNNNNNNNNNNNNNNNNNNNNNNNNNNNNNNNNNNNNNNNNNNNNNNNNNNNNNNNNNNNNNNNNNNNNNNNNNNNNNNNNNNCUCGGCGAUUUGGAGGAUUAGGCCUCUGACUCUGGCUCGGAGGGGUGCGCCCCCCCGUUGGGUGUGCCGGUGGUGGUUCCGGGGCCUGUGGCUGGUCGUUCCCGGAAGUUUGCUCCGGGCGGUCGGGGCAGACCGGUGGCGCUGCCGUCGGGGUCUCCUGGCUGGUCGCGUGUUGGGCGCCGCCGUCGCGUGGUGGGUGUGGAUCCGGCUUCCUCGCAGGUGUGUGUUCCCCUUCGCCCCCCUCCCCCGGCCUGCUGUGGCUCCUGAUCUGGGUGGGUUGGCUUCUCCAAUCGUUUCUCCUCCCUGCUCUCCUGCUCCCCGGCCGGGGCCGGCGGCGACGGCGGCGGGGGCGCCGGUGCGCCUGGUGGCAGUUGGUGGCCUAACCCUAGAUCCGGGUGGCUCGGAGGGCUCGGGGGGCCUUGCUGGGCCUGUGGGCCUGGUGGCCUCUGCUGGGGUUCGGCCCGGUCCGCCCGCUCCACCGGCCCUGUCGUCUUUUAUUUCUUUCCCUCCCCUUCUGUCCGUGGGCCCGGGGCAAGUGGUAGUGGCCACUGCGCCUCGGCCUCCCCCCCUUUGGCCCGGGCUUCGGUUGCAGCCUGUUCGGCCCAAUCUGGCUCGGCCUGCUGCGGCUAUAUAUGGGUGCGCCGCGAUGCCCUUCCCCCCUUCCUAGGGUUUCCGGCCUCCGCCGCUGAUAUUCGCAGGGCGCGUCGUCCCAUUCGCCACUUCUCCAGAUCCGCUUCUUCCCCACCCCCCGUCCUCCUCUCCUUUGCCGACGCGCUCGCCAUGGACAAGUCGAGGACCUCCUCCUCCGAGGCCUUGUCGGGGAGCAAGAGGGCUAGUGAGUCCUCGCCGGGCUCUGGUGCUGAUUUGGCCUUUGAGGCCGAGCACCGCUCUAAGCUGGUGGCUGAUCGGGCGGCGCACGGGCCUGUGCUUGCGGGGGAGGAAUGGGAGGCGGGGUCGGACCGCUCCGUGGCCAGAUCUGGGACGGCGUUCCCUAGAUCUGGUGCUGGGUCGGGGUUUGGGCCGGAUCCGUGGGAGGCUGUCGCGGCUUCGAUGGCUGGUGGCUCAUCUUCUUCGGCAAGUCUCUUUACUCGUUCUGUAAUGCUUCACCCCGCAACUAACUCAUUAGUCACAUUGCUUGCAAGGCUUAUAGUGAUGAGCAUUACUGAGAGGGCCCAGAGAUACCUCUCCGAUACACGGAGUGACAAAUCCUAUUCUCAAUCUAUGCCAACCCAACAAACACCUUCGGAGACACCUGUAGAGCAUCUUCAUAAUCACUUAGUUAUAUUGUGACGUUUGAUAGCACACAAGGUGUUCCUCCGGUAUUUGGGAGUUGCAUAAUCUCAUAGUCAGAGGAACAUGUAUAAAUCAUAAAGAAAACAAUAGGAAUAAAACUUAGAUCAUUAUGCUAAUCUAACGGAUGGGUCUUGUCCAUCACAUCAUUCUCUAAUGAUGUAAUCCUGUUCAUCAAAUGACAACACAUGUCUAUGGUCAGGAAACAUAACCAUCUUUGAUUAACGAGCUAGUCAAGUAGAGGCAUACUAGGGACACUUUGUUUUGUCUAUGUAUUCACACAUAGUACUAAGUUUUUGGUUAAUACAAUUCUAGCAUGAAUAAUAAAUAUUUAUUAUGAUAUAACGAAAUGUAAAUAAUAAUUUUAUUAUUGUCUUUAGGACAUAUUUCAUUCACUUUAGUCUCGGUUGAUGAACCGGGACUAAAGGCCCUUAUGAACCAGGACUAAUGCCCAAUUCCGCACUAGUGCAAAAUAAAGAGACAAUUAUAGGUUGCUAUGCUGCCCCGCCAUGGACUUGGGCCGGAAAAAAGAGCUCAAACGGAGUUGCCCAACGUAUAUGCGCCGAUCCACUUUUAUCCUUCGUUGGUGAUAAAAAGAGCAUCCUCUUGUAUACAUUUCAUCUCUAUUUGUCCAAAAUCAACAGUAGAUGGGUGGUUGUUUGGCUAGCAUGUACUGUUCCAAUGCUUUGGACCAGCCUAGGACGAUCCAGCGAUGCAUGAAAGAAACCAUCUCGCUCGUACAUGAAACGGACAAAACCAAAAUAACUAGCAUACGUGAAAAUCAAUCAAAGUGGAACGAAACAAAGCAGGACAAAAAUAAGAAUAUCGCCUUCCUUUAUUAGUAAGUAUAGAUUGAGCAAGAAAAUAGCUGACAUACUCGCCAUAUCGGUGAUUCAUAGCUCGUUAUUUUGCUCAACGAUGCAUAAUGAGAGGGUAGAGGUGCACUGCAAGACAUGGCUCAACAUGUAGCACUAGCGGUUUCUCUUUGAAGAGGUCGUGCUUCGAUUCGCUGAGAUUGAUGGCCGACACCCCAGCCGGUUUGGUCCAGGUGAAGCCAUGCAAGAGCCUGCCGAAGAGCAUGACACUCAUGGUUGUUCCUAGUGAUGCCGCGAUGCAUCCCCGCCGUCCGGUGCUGAAGGAGAUGAACCGCAAUUCGCUCUCGGUAAGCACCACAUUGAUGGUGUCUCCCAUAUGGCGCUCUGGCUUGAAGUGGAGCGGUUCAUCCCAGACGGCGGGGUUCCGGCCCAGGGCCAGCCGGCCGAGGAUGACGUGGCUACCCUUGGGCACACGGUAGCCCGCAACAAUGGUGUCGGCAAUCGCGACGUGCGGCAGGUUGAAGGGAGCGAUUGGGUGGAGGCGAAAUGCCUCACGUAUGCACGCCUUGAGAUAGUUGAGAUGCAUGAUGUCCGACUCUUGCACCAGUCGCUCGCGACCGACCACCCGGUCCUGUUGGGGAACGUAGCAGAAAUUCAAAAUUUUCCUACGUGUCACCAAGAUCUAUCUAUGGAGAAACCAGCAACGAGGGGAAGGAGAGUGCAUCUACAUACCCUUGUAGAUCGCUAAGCGGAAGCGUUCAAGUGAACGGGGUUGAUGGAGUCGUACUCGUCGUGAUUCAAAUCACCGAUGAUCAAGUGCCGAACGUACGGCACUUCCGCGUUCAACACACGUACAACCCGGUGACGUCUCCCACGCCUUGAUCCAGCAAGGAGAGAGGGAGAGGUUGAGGAAGACUCCAUCCAACAGCAGCACAACGGUGUGGUGGUGGUGGAGGAGCGUGGCAAUCCCGCAGGGCUUCGCCAAGCACCAUGGGAGAGGAGGAGUGGGGAGAGACAGGGCUGCACCAAGAGGGAGAGAACUCAUGUGUAUGGCAGCCCCAAACCUCAACUAUAUAUAGGGGGAAGGGGGGGCUGCGCCCCCUUUAGGGUUUCCCACCCCCAAGGGGUGCGGCCAGCCCUAGAUGGCAAAGGGGGUGGCGGCCAAGAGGGGAGAGGAGAGGGAGGCGCACCAAUAUGGGCCUUAAGGCCCAUCUGGACUAGGGUUUGCCCCCUCCCACUCUCCCUUGCGCCUUGGCCCCCUUGUGGGGGGCGCACCAGCCCUCCUAGGGGCUGGUCCCCUCCCACACUUGGCCCACGCAACCUUCUGGGGCAGGUGGCCCCACUUGGUGGACCCCCGGGACCCUCCCGGUGGUCCCGGUACAAUACCGAUAUCGCCCGAAACUUUUCCGGUGACCAAAACAGGACUUCCCAUAUAUAAAUCUUUACCUCCAGACCAUUCCGGAACUCCUCGUGACGUUCGGGAUCUCAUCCGGGACUCCGAACAACAUUCGGUAACCACAUACAAGCUUCCUUUAUAACCCUAGCGUCACCGAACCUUAAGUGUGUAGACCCUACGGGUUCGGGAGACAUGUAGACAUGACCGAGACGUUCUCCGGUCAAUGACCAACAGCGGGAUCUGGAUACCCAUGAUGGCUCCCACAUGUUCCACGAUGAUCUCAUCGGAUGAACCACGGUGUCAAGGACUUAAUCAAUCCCGUAUUCAAUUCCCUUUGUCUAUCGGUAUGUUACUUGCCCGAGACUCGAUCGUCGGCAUCCAAUACCUUGUUCAAUCUCGUUACCGGCAAGUCACUUUACUCGUUCCGUAACACAUCAUCCCGUGAUCAACUCCUUGGUCACAUUGCGCAUAUGAUGAUGUCCUACUGAGUGGGCCCAGAGAUACCUCUCCGUUUACACGGAGUGACAAAUCCCAGUCUCGAUCCGCAUAAAACAAUGGAUACUUUCGGAGAUACCUGUAGUGCACCUUUAUAGUCACCCAGUUACGUUGUGACGUUUGAUACACCCAAAGCACUCCUACGGUAUCCAGGAGUUACACGCUCUCAUGGUCAAAGGAAGAGAUACUUGACAUUUGGCAAAGCUCUAGCAAACGAACUACACGAUCUUUGUGCUAGGCUUAGGAUUGGGUCUUGUCCAUCACAUCAUUCUCCUAAUGAUGUGAUCCCGUUAUCAACGACAUCCAAUGUCCAUAGCCAGGAAACCAUGACUAUCUGUUGAUCACAACGAGCUAGUCAACUAGAGGCUCACUAGGGACAUGGUGUUGUCUAUGUAUUCACACGUGUAUUACGAUUUCCGGAUAAUACAGUUAUAGCAUGAAUAAAAGACUAUUAUCAUGAACAAAGAAAUAUAAUAAUAAUCAAUUUAUUAUUGCCUCUUGGGCAUAUUUCCAACAGUCUCCCAGUUGCACUAGAGUCAAUAAUCCAGUUCACAUCGCCAUGUGAUUAACACUCACAGGUCACAUCGCCAUGUGACUAAUACCCAAGAGUUUACUAGAGUCAGUAGUCUAGUUCACAUCACUAUGUGAUUAACACUCAAUGAGUUUUAUGUUUGAUCAUGUUGCUUGUGAGAGAGGUUUUAGUCAACGGGUCUGAACCUUUCAGAUCCGUGUGUGCUUUACAAAUCUCUAUGUCAUCUCCUAGAUGCAGCUACCACGCUCUAUUUGGAGCUAUUCCAAAUAACUGUUCUACUUGGAGCUAUUCUAAAUUAUUGCUCCAUUAUAUGUAUCCGGUCUCUCUACUCAGAGCUAUCGGAUAGGUGUCAAGCUUGCAUCGACAUAACCCUUUACGACGAACUCUUUUACCACCUCCAUAAUCGAGAAAAUUCCUUAGUCCACUAGUUACUAAGAAUAACUUUGACCGCUGUCCUGUGAGCCAUUCUUGGAUCACUCUUGUACCCCUUGACUAACUCAUGGCAAGGCACACUUCAGGUGCGGUACACAGCAUAGCAUACUGAAGAGCCUACGUCUUAAGCAUAGGGGACGACCUUCGUCCUUUCUCUCUAUUCUGCCGUGGUCGAGCUUUAAGUCUUAACUUCGUACCUUACAACUCAGGCAAGAACUCCUUCUUUGACUGGUCCAUCUUGAACACCUUCAAGAUCAUGUCAAGGUAUGUGCUCAUUUGAAAGUAUUAUUAGGCAUUUUGAUCUAUCCUUAUAGAUCUCGAUGCUCAAUGUUCAAGUAGCUUAAUCCAGGUUUUCUAUUGAAAAACACCUUUCAAAUAACCCUAUAUGCUUUCUAGAAAUUCUACAUCAUUUCUGAUCAACAUAUACUCAUCAGAAAUUCUAUAGUGCUCCCACUCACUUCUUUGGAAAUACAAGUUUCUCAUAUACUCAUCAGAAAAUCUUUGACCAUCAUCAAAGCAUACAUUCCAACUCCGAGAUGCUCACUCCAGUCCUUAAAAGGAUUGCUGGAGCUUUGCAUACUUAUUAGCAUCUUUUGGGAUUGACAAAACCUUCCGGUUGUAUCACAUACAACCUUUCCUCAAUAAAAUCAUCGAGGAAACAAUGUUUUGACAUCCUAUCUGCAGGAUUUCAUAAAUAAUGCAGUAAUCGCUAAUAUAAUUCCAACAGACUCUUAGCAUCGCUACGAGUGAGAAAAUCUCAUCGUAGUCAACUCCUUGAACUUGUCGGAAAACAUCUUAACGACAAGUCGAGCUUUCUUAAUGGUGACAUUUACCAUCAUUGUUCGUCUUCCUUUUGAAAUCCAUCUGUACUCAUUAGCCUUACGACCAUCGAGCCAUUUUGCCAAAGUCUACACUUUGUUUUCAUACAUGGAUCCUCUCUCGGAUUUUAUGGCCUCAAGCCAUUUAUCGGAAUCCGGGCCCACCAUCGCUUCUCCAUAGCUCGUAGGUUCAUUGUUGUCUAGCAACAUGACUUCCAAGACAGGAUUACCGUACCACUCUGAAGUAGUACGUAUCCUUGUCACCCUACGAGGUACGGCAGUGAUUUGAUCUGAAACUUCAUGAUCAAUAUCAUAAGCUUCCACUUCAAUUGGUGUAUGUGCCACGGGAACAACUUCCUGUGCCCUGCUACACACUGGUUGAAGUGAUGGUUCAAUAACCUCAUCAAGUCUCCACCAUCCUCCCACUCAACUCUUUCGAGAGAAACCUUUCCUCGAGAAAGGACCCGAUUCUAGAAACAAUUCAUAUUGCUUUCGGAUCUGAAUUAGGAGGUAUACCCAACUGUUUUGGGUGUCCUAUGAAGAUGUAUUUUAUCCGCUUUGGGUUCGAGCUUAUCAAUCCUGAAACUUUUUCACAUAAGCGUCACAGCCCCAAACCUUUAAGAAACGACAACUUAGGUUUCUCCAAAUGGUGUCGUCUCAACGGAAUUAUGUGGUGCCCUAUUUAAAGUGAAUGUGGUUGUCUCUAAUGCCUAACCCAUGAACGAUAGUGGUAAUUCGAUAAGAGACAUCAUGGUACGCACCAUAUCCAAUAGGGUGCAACUAUGAUGUUCGGACACACCAUCACACUAUGGUGUUCCAGGCAGUAUUAAUUGCGAAACAAUUUCCACAAUGUCUUAAUUGUGUGCCAAAACUCCUAACUCAGAUAUUCAUCUCUAUGAUCAUAUCAUAGACAUUUAAUCCUCUUGUCACAAUGAUCUUCUACUUUACUCUGAAAUUACUUGAACCAUUCAAUAACUCAGACUUGUGUUUCAUCAAGUAAAUAUUCUCAACAUCUACUCAAAUCAUCUGUGAAGUAAGAACAUAACGAUAUUCACUGCAUGCCUCAGCACUCAUUGGACUGCACACAUCAAAAUGUGUUGCUUCCAACAAGUUGCUAUCUUGUUCCAUUUUACUGAAAACGAGGCUUUUCAGUCAUCUUGCCCAUGUGGUAUGAUUUGCAUAUCUCAAGUGAUUCAAAAUCAAGUGAGUCCAAACGGUCCAUUUGCAUGGAGUUUCUUCAUGCAUAUACACCAACAGACAUGGUUCGCAUGUCUCAAACUUUUCAAAAAUGAGUGAGUCCAAAGAUCCAUCAACAUGGAGCUUCUUCAUGCGUUUUAAACCAAUAUGACUUACAUGGCAGUGCCACCAGUAAGUGGUACUAUCAUUACUAUCUUUUGGCAUGAAAAUGUGUAUCACUACGAUCGAGAUUCAAUAAACCAUUUUAGGUGCAAGACCACUGAAGGUAUUAUUCACAUAAAUAGAGUAACUAUUAUUCUCCUUAAAUGAAUAACCGUAUUGCGAUAGACAUAAUCCAAUCAUGUCUAUGCUCAACGCAAACACACAAUGAACGUUAUUCAGGUUUAAUACUAAUCUUGAUGGUAGAGGGAGCGUACGAUGUUUGAUCACAUCAGACUUGGAAACACUUCCAACACAUAUCGUCAGCUCUCCUUUAGCUAGUCUCCGUUUAUUCCGUAGCUUUUAUUUCGAGUUACUAACACUUAGCAACCGAACCGGUAUCUAAUACCCUGGUGCUACUAGGAGUACUAGUAAAGUACACAUUAACAUAAUGUAUAUCCAAUAUACUUCUAUCGACUUUGCCAGCCUUCUCAUCUACCAAGUAUCUAGGGUAAUUCUGCUCCAGUGGCUGUUCCCCUUAUUACAGAAGCACUUAGUCUCGGGUUUUGGGUUCAACCUUGGGUCUCUUCACUAGAGUAGCAGCUGAAUUGCCGUUUCAUGAAGUAUCCCUUUGUUCCCUUGCCCUUCUUGAAACUAGUGGUUUCACCAACCAUCAACAAUUGAUGCUCUUUCUUGAUUUCUACUUUCGCGGUGUCAAACAUCGCGAAUACCUCAAGGAUCAUCAUAUCUAUCCCUGAUAUGUUAUAGUUCAUCACGAAGCUCUAGCAGCUUGGUGGCAAUGACUUUGGAGAAACAUCACUAUCUCAUUUGGAAGAUCAACUCCCACUCGAUUCAAGUGAUUGUUGCACUCAGACAAUCUGAGCAGAAGCUCAACGAUUGAGAUUUUCUCCCUUAGUUUGUAGGCUAAGAAAAUUGUCGGAGGUCUUAUACCUCUUGACGUGGGCACGAGCCUGAAAUCCCAAUUUCAGCCCUCGAAGCAUCUCAUAUGUUUCGCGAUGUUUCGAAAACGUCUUUCGUGCCUCAACUCUAAACCGUUUAACUGAACUAUCACGUAGUUAUCAAGACGUGUAUGUCCGAUGUUCACAACAUCCACAAACGACGUUUGGGGUUCAGCAUACUGAGCGGUGCAUUAAGGACAUAAGCUUUCUACUGAUCGCAUAAUCGCUACUAUUAACUUUCAACUAUAAUUUUCUCUAGGAACAUAUCUAAACAGUAGAACUAUAGCGCGAGCUACGACAUAAUUUGCAAAAGGUCUUUUGACUAUGUUCAGGAUAAUUAAGUUCAUCUUAUGAACUCCCACUCAGAUAGACAUCCCUCUGGUCAUCUAAGUGAUCACAUGAUCCGAGUCAACUAGGCCGUGUCCGAUCAUCACGUGAGACGGACUAGUCAUCAUCGGUGAACAUCUUCAUGUUGAUCGUAUCUUCUAUACGACUCAUGCUCGACCUUUCGGUCUCCGUGUUCCGAGGCCAUGUCUGCACAUGCUAGGAUCAUCAAGUUAACCCUAAGUGUUUCCGCUGUGUAAAACUGUCUUACACCCGUUGUAUGUGAACGUAAGAAUCCAUCACACCCGAUCAUCACGUGGUGCUUAGAAGCGACAAACUGUAGCAACGGUGCACAACUAGGGGAGAACACUUCUUGAAAUUUUGUAAGGGAUCAUCUUAUUUACUACCGUCGUCCUAAGUAAACAAGAUGCAUAAUCAUAAUAAACAUCACAUGCAAUUAUAUAGUUGUGACAUGAUAUGGCCAAUAUCAUAUAGCUCCAUUGAUCUCCAUCUUCGGGGCUCCAUGAUCAUCUUGUCACCGGCUUGACACCAUGAUCUCCAUCAUCAUGAUCUCCAUCAUCGUGUCUUCAUGAAGUUGUCACGCCAAUGACUACUUCUACUUCUAUGGCUAACGCGUUUAGCAAUAAAGUAAAGUAAGUUACAUGGCGUUCUUCAAUGACACGCAGGUCAUACAAUAAAUUAAAGACAACUCCUAUGGCUCCUGCCGGUUGUCAUACUCAUCGACAUGGAAGUCGUGAAUCCUAUUACAAGAACAUGAUCAAUCUCAUACAUCACAUAUCAUUCAUCACAUUCUUCUUGGCCAUAUCACAUCACAUAGCAUACCCUGCAAAAACAAGUUAGACGUCCUCUAAUUGUUGUUUGCAUGUUUUACGUGGCUGCUAUGGGUUUCUAGCAAGAACGUUUCUUACCUACGCAAUACCACAACGUGAUAUGCCAAUUGCUAUUUACCCUUCAUAAGGACCCUUUUCAUCGAAUCCGUUCCGACUAAAGUGGGAGAGACUGGCACCCGCUAGCCACCUUAUGCACCAAGUGCAUGUCAAUCGAUGGAACCUGUCUCACGUAAGAGUACGUGUAAGGUCGGUCCGGGCCGCUUCAUCCCACAAUACCGUCGAAACAAGAUUGGACUAGUAACGGUAAGCAUAUUGAACAAAAUCAACGCCCACAACUACUUUGUGUUCUACUCGUGCAAAGAAUCUACGCAAUAGACCUAGCUCAUGAUGCCACUGUUGGGGAACGUAGCAGAAAUUCAAAAUUUUCCUACGUGUCACCAAGAUCUAUCUAUGGAGAAACCAGCAACGAGGGGAAGGAGAGUGCAUCUACAUACCCUUGUAGAUCGCUAAGCGGAAGCGUUCAAGUGAACGGGGUUGAUGGAGUCGUACUCGUCGUGAUUCAAAUCACCGAUGAUCAAGUGUCGAACGUACGGCACCUCCGCGUUCAACACACGUACAGCCCGGUGACGUUUCCCACGCCUUGAUCCAGCAAGGAGAGAGGGAGAGGUUGAGGAAGACUCCAUCCAACAGCAGCACAACGGCGUGGUGGUGGUGGAGGAGCGUGGCAAUCCCGCAGGGCUUCGCCAAGCACCAUGGGAGAGGAGGAGUGGGGAGAGACAGGGCUGCACCAAGAGGGAGAGAACUCAUGUGUAUGGCAGCCCCAAACCUCAACUAUAUAUAGGGGGAAGGAGGGGCUGCGCCCCCUUUAGGGUUUCCCACCCCCAAGGGGUGCGGCCAGCCCUAGAUGGCAAAGGGGGUGGCGGCCAAGAGGGGAGAGGAGAGGGAGGCGCACCAAUAUGGGCCUUAAGGCCCAUCUGGACUAGGGUUUGCCCCCUCCCACUCUCCCUUGUGCCUUGGCCCCCUUGUGGGGGGCGCACCAGCCCUCCUAGGGGCUGGUCCCCUCCCACACUUGGCCCACGCAAUCUUCUGGGGCAGGUGGCCCCACUUGGUGGACCCCCGGGACCCUCCCGGUGGUUCCGGUACAAUACCGAUAUCGCCCGAAACUUUUCCGGUGACCAAAACAGGACUUCCCAUAUAUAAAUCUUUACCUCCGGACCAUUCCGGAACUCCUCGUGACGUCCGGGAUCUCAUCCGGGACUUCGAACAACAUUCGGUAACCACAUACAAGCUUCCUUUAUAACCCUAGCGUCACCGAACCUUAAGUGUGUAGACCCUAUGGGUUCGGGAGACAUGUAGACAUGACCGAGACGUUCUCCGGUCAAUAACCAACAGCGGGAUCUGGAUAUCCAUGAUGGCUCCCACAUGUUCCACGAUGAUCUCAUCGGAUGAACCACGAUGUCAAGGACUUAAUCAAUCCCGUAUUCAAUUCCCUUUGUCUAUCGGUAUGUUACUUGCCCGAGACUCGAUCGUCGGCAUCCAAUACCUUGUUCAAUCUCGUUACCGGCAAGUCACUUUACUCGUUCCGUAACACAUCAUCCCGUGAUCAACUCCUUGGUCACAUUGCGCAUAUGAUGAUGUCCUACCGAGUGGGCCCAGAGAUACCUCUCCGUUUACACGGAGUGACAAAUCCCAGUCUCGAUCCGCAUAAAACAAUAGAUACUUUCGAAGAUACUUGUAGUGCACCUUUAUAGUCACCCAGUUACGUUGUGAUGUUUGAUACACCCAAAGCACUCCUACGGUAUCUAGGAGUUACACGCUCUCAUGGUCAAAGGAAGAGAUACUUGACAUUUGGCAAAGCUCUAGCAGACGAACUACACGAUCUUUGUGCUAGGCUUAGGAUUGGGUCUUGUCCAUCACAUCAUUCUCCUAAUGAUGUGAUCCCGUUAUCAACGACAUCCAAUGUCCAUAGCCAGAAAACCAUGACUAUCUGUUGAUCACAACGAGCUAGUCAACUAGAGGCUCACUAGGGACAUGGUGUUGUCUAUGUAUUCACACGUGUAUUAUGAUUUCCGGAUAAUACAGUUAUAGCAUGAAUAAAAGACUAUUAUCAUGAACAAAGAAAUAUAAUAAUAAUCAAUUUAUUAUUGCCUCUAGGGCAUACUUCCAACAGGUCCAUCUCCUCCACCGCCUUGGCCAGCAAUUCUGGGUUGUUCACCAUCUCCGCCAGCGCCCACUCCACUGCGUUUGACGGGUUAUCUAUGGCCGCUAAUAUUAUGCCCUGCAUGCAUUCCAUGG
rnacentral:lncRNA from 1 species